GGAGUGGCUAUGGCGCCAGCGACUCCUCGAUUUCCCGUGAGGAUUUCUUGCGCUCCUGGUUUGGGAUCGAUCAAGAAAUUUGUGGCUCCGGUACAAAGAUCUCACCUUCUUUCCGGGUAAGCAAGAAAUUCCAUAGCAUUAAGCAAGGAAUUCUAUGGCAUUCCUUCCUGACAAUCUCUCCAGGACCGAACAAGCAAGAAAUUCCUUUCUGACGAUCUCCAGGACCUUCGAUCGGGAGCCUUCUAGCAAGAAAUUCCAUAGCAGUCCUUCCUUGCGAGGUAAAAUUUCUCUCCAGGGCCUUCGAUCGAGAGCCUUCUUUCCGGGCAAGCAAGAAAUUCCAUAGCAUUCCUUCCGGACGAUCUCUACCGAGAGCCUUCUUUCCGGGACUUUCGAUCGAUGCUAUCCGGGCCUGGAUGAUCUUCGGUGGCCCGGAUGAGUGCUCUCGUUCCCUCGCAAGAGCUGGAGCUGCUGCUCCAGCCUCUUC